CUUGGGAGUAGGCAAAAUGGUAGCAGCUGGCAGCUUCUGCUUCAGAUAAAUAGAUCUCAGCAGUAACAACCUGAAUUUGCCUGUCUCUCCAGACUUCAGAUCUGCUUGUUUGCCCUGCAACCUCAGUUCUUUGAUGGAUCCAAGAAAAGGCCUUGAUUUUUGGCUUAAGAUUUUUCUUAUUGUAAGAAGAGGAGUGAUGACUUCUAAGCUGUUUACACUGAGGGCCUAAAACCAGAGAAGGCCUGCUAAGAUGGAAGCAGAAGAGAGCGAGCUAGCUCUCAGGGACUGGGGUGGAAAUGAGUGCUCUGCAAGACCUUCAGAGUGUUCAGCCUUCCAAAGUCUGUGAAUGCAUUCUAAGAGUGGUUGUGGCUUGGCUUCUUCCAUGGUAAUAUUUGUGACUUAUUCUUACCAACAAAAUGCAGUGGAAGUGAAGUUGCAUGAAGUCUGAAUCUAGGUCAUAGAAGACAGUUAGCUAGAACUCUGCUUUUUGCUGGUACAAUCACACCUGGAGUCCUCAGCUAUCUGUAAGAGUUCCAGCUACUCCAAAGCCAUAAUGCUAUGAAAAAGACAUGACAUGGAGAUAGGCAGCACACUGGUCAACUUUACAGUUGGGCUCCCAGCCAGCAACCUUGUGAAUGAGCCAUCUUCGACAUCAGCACAGUCAAACCUUCAGAUAACUGGAGUUCUGGCCAAAAACUGACUGAAACUGCAUGAGAAACUCGAAACAAGAACUACUCACAUGAGCUCUCCCAAGUCCCUGACCCACAAG
rnacentral:lncRNA from 1 species